rnacentral:piRNA from 1 species
ACACCUUGACUUUGCCUUCUGGUGUC